UGGUGGAAAACUACAUGGUCAAAACCAUUGAGAACUAAAAUUCCCAGAAUGCUGAGGGAAACUGACCGCCAAAUUACUGAUUGAAGGCACCUGAAAAGGAAUGGCGGUUGAGUCAGACUCAUUCACCAAACAAGCUGCAUGCAAGGAAGAACAGCAAGCAGCCACAACCACAAGAUCUACCCUAAGAGUUUCUCCAAACACACCAAUGAUGGCGGGAGCUGCCAUGCAAGGCCCUAACCACGACCCAUCAGGAGCAAGGGUGAAGUGUCUUGCUCAAGGACACCACGGAUGUGACGGUGUUGGUCAAAGGUGGGGAUCGAACCAGGAAACCCUCAGAUUGCUGGCACCAUUCUCCCGACUGCGCUUAAGGCGGUGAUGCAAUCCUCCGACUCCUGCGUGCAAUCACACGGUCAGCCAGGAAGAGGCGUGGGCCUCACUGCUUCUCACUCAUGCAGCCGAUAGAGAAACAGCCCCCAACUCAUUGUCGGUGAUAAUGCAGAAAACGUGAUAUAAAAAAAGGUAACUGCGCAGCUUGACGACAUAUUGAA